rnacentral:sRNA from 1 species
ACCCGCUGAACUUAAGCAUAUCAAUAAGCGGAGGAAAAGAAACCAACAGGGAUUGCCCCAGUAACGGCGAGUGAAGCGGCAACAGCUCAAAUUUGAAAUCUGGCCCCCCCGCGGGGCCCGAGUUGUAAUUUGAAGAGGAUGCUUCUGGCAAGGUGCCGUCCGAGUUCCCUGGAACGGGACGCCGCAGAGGGUGAGAGCCCCGUACGGUCGGACGCCGAGCCUCUGUGAAGCUCCUUCGACGAGUCGAGUAGUUUGGGAAUGCUGCUCAAAAUGGGAGGUAAACCCCUUCUAAAGCUAAAUACCGGCCAGAGACCGAUAGCGCACAAGUAGAGUGAUCGAAAGAUGAAAAGCACUUUGAAAAGAGAGUUAAAAAGCACGUGAAAUUGUUGAAAGGGAAGCGCUUGCGACCAGACUCGCGCCCGUCGGAUCAGCCGUCGCUCGUCGGCGGCGCACUCCGGCGGGCUCGGGCCAGCAUCAGUUCGCCUCGGGGGGAGAAAGGCGGCGGGAAUGUGGCUCUACGGAGUGUUAUAGCCCGCCGCGUAAUACCCCCGGGCGGACUGAGGACCGCGCGUAUGCAAGGAUGCUGGCGUAAUGGUCGUCAGCGACCCGUCUUGAAACACGGACCAAGGAGUCGUCCUAAUAUGCGAGUGUACGGGUGUCAAACCCCUGCGCGUAAUGAAAGUGAACGGAGGUGAGAGCUUCGGCGCAUCAUCGACCGAUCCUGAUGUUCUCGGAUGGAUUUGAGUAAGAGCAUAUUGGGCCGGACCCGAAAGAAGGUGAACUAUGCCUGUGUAGGGUAAAGCCAGAGGAAACUCUGGUGGAGGCUCGCAGCGGUUCUGACGUGCAAAUCGAUCGUCAAAACAUGGGCAUGGGGGCGAAAGACUAAUCGAACCUUCUAGUAGCUGGUUUCCGCCGAGUU